AUUGAACGCUGGCGGCAGGCUUAACACAUGCAAGUCGAGCGAGCGGCGGACGGGUGAGAAAUGUCUGGGAAACUGCCUGACGGAGGGGGAUAACAACUGGAAACGGCAGCUAAUACUGCAUACCAUCAGAUGUGCCCAGAUGGGAGUAGCUAGUGGGUGGGGUAACGGCUAACCUAGGCGAGGUUCCCUAGCUGGUCUGCGAGGAUGACCAGCCACACUGGAACUGAGACACGGUCCAGACUCCUACGGGGGGCAGCAGUGGGGAAUGUUGCACAAUGGGCGCAAGCCUGAUGCAGCCAUGCCGCGUGUGUGAAGAAGGCCUUCGGGUUGUAAAGCACGUUCAGCGGGGAGGCGUUACCCGCAGAAGAAGCACCGGCUAACUCCGUGCCAGCAGCCGCGGUAAUUC
rnacentral:rRNA from 1 species